CCGCCGUGAGGCUCUGGUGGGGGCCGGGCGCCGGGUACGCGCCUUGACGUUCGGCGUCGCGUUCGGCGACGCGUUCGGCGUCGCGCUUGGCGACC
rnacentral:tRNA from 1 species